rnacentral:lncRNA from 1 species
GUGAGUGACAAAAACUCUGAACUCUUUCUGUUUUUUAACUUCUACAAACUUUUCUAUAUACUCUGUCCCAGGUGGCUGGGCAAAUACUUGAGCCUUGAAAUGAAAUCUUGGAGUAUUCAGUAACUCGCACCAGCUAAAUCAAUCAUGAAUUGUGUAAUAAACUUUAGCCUUUGGCAUUUCAGAAUUUCAAGACUUUUAUUGCGGCAGCUGUUCUUAUAGUUUAUCUUCUAAGUUAUUUGUGUUUUCUUUAUAAUCUGUGUAUACUUUUUAUAAAAGGAGUAAUACAUGAACCUCUGAGUCAGGGAAUAGAGCUAGAAUUGUAUGUUUUUUGCUAUAUGCAAAUGAUAAUUUACUUUGUUUCAUAUUUUUACUUUCAAAAUUAUUUUUAAAAGGUAGUAUUUCAGAUAGAUGAUAUAGUGUUUAAUUACUGUUUAACAAACAUCAUUGCUGUGUGAGAUCUCCCAGGAAACUUGUAAUCACGCAAACAUUGUUUUUGUAAACUUUUAAAAAUCAAAUUUACCUUCAUACUUGUCUAGCAAUUAUCAAUAUGUGGGCAAAGGACUCACACAGAAGAUCUAUUAAAGAAGAACUAAAUAUAUUGAACAAAAUUAUACAAUAGAAUCAGUCUUUCAACAAUAUGACUACUCCAAACCUCAAUAUUACUAAAUUUAUUGUUUUGCUAAUCUUGUUCCACAUAUUUCAAUUUUUUUAAAUGAGUUUCUCUAAGGACUUCUGUGAGCGAGAAGAGUUUGUAUGUUUCUUUAACAUUUUCAUUUCUCUUCUUAUGUUCAAAUGCUCUGACCAUUUUUCUUUGAGUUGUCUAUAUUGUUAUUUCUGAAAUAUAUUAGUUCUUUAGAUAUGUGAAUUUUAAUCAUAUCUGGUAUAUAUACUAUAGAUAUAAUUCCUAAUUUAUCACCAUUAUUUUAACUUUAUUGAUUCAUUUUAAUUUUUAAUAUUCAAGUUUAUGAAAAUAUUUAGUAAUAACUUUUAUACCUCAUUAAUUACUAAGUAGGAAUAUUCUUCCUCGUAUCUAAUAUAUAGUCUGAUAUAAUUCUUAAAAAUAUUUUUGCAGUCGCAUUGUACUUAGCUCUGCAUUUCAUCAGGAGUUUAUUUUUCUAACGCAUGGGGUAGAAACCUAAAUUUUUUUCCUGAAGUAGCAAAGCAUCAUUUAUUGAACUGUCAUCGGUCUAUUCAUACCACAUUUCCCACUGAUUUGAAUAUUGUCUUAAUUGUGUGCUAAAUUUAUGAGUAUGUGGAUCUGCUGAAUUCUGUGAUAUUGACCAGUCUAUCAAGAUCAAUAUUGGCAUGAUACUGUUUUAAUUGCUAUAAAUUUAUAGAAAUAUAUGUUAUGAUAUGUAGCAAAUCAACCAUCCCUCACUAUUAUUUUUGUAUUCUUAAAGUAAUGCUGGAUUGCAAGAAUAAGUAUAUCUCCAAAUUUCAGUGUCUGAAACAAACAGAAGUUUGUUUCUCGUCCAUGUAACCAAGGCAAAUGCUCCUGGUUGGCAGGUGGCUUCCUCCAGGCAGUAAAUCUACAGCCCAGGCUCCCUGCAUCUUAUGGCUCCAAUCACUUUGGAUCUCAUCGUCGCCUGCACAUUGCCAUACACAGGGAAGGAGAAGAGAUGGAGAAGGCAAAGACUUUCUGAAAGCCGUGGCUAAAAGCUGGCAUGUGUCACAUCAGCUCACAUUCCAUUGUAGAGACGGGGUUUCACCGUGUUAGCCAGGAUGGUCUUGAUAUCCUGACCUCGUGAUCCGCCCGCCUUGGCUUCCCAAAGUGCUGGGAUUACAGGCGUGAGCCACCGCUCCCGGCCUGGCAGGCAUUCUUGAGGCAAACGGGAAAUGGGUGAACGGGAGGAACAUUGGCAGCACUUGUGGUCUGCACCAAGAACUGAAUCGAAUUUCCAUGUGUUAUUGAAUGUUCACAAAGACCUUGUACAGCGAGUGUUACUACCUCUGGUCAAUGAUUCAACUCAAGGCUCAGAAAAGUCAAGUGUCUUGUCCAGGGACACUUAGUCAGAAGUGAAUCCAAGGUUUAAGCUCAAGUCUGCCUAACUCUGAAUUUCACAGCCUUUUGCUACAUAUGGCGAAUAAUAUAUCCCUGAGCACUAAAGGCAGACUCCAAGGAUCUUGUCUCUGCAAUCAUCAUUCUGGCCAUAAUUUAUGAAAAGCAACCCAAAGUAUGUGAUGUAAUAAAAAGUACUAUCUAUGAGUUUACCCUUCCAAAAAUUGAACUGAAUUCUGAGCUCUAAAUUUGGAAUCAAAAGAACUUUUCUCUGCACUAAUCAUUUGGAACAUCACUUAAAGAAAACAACGAAAAACUGGUGUCCCCUGAGAGAAAGCAAUACAAAACAUUAUGCAUAAAGAAAUCCUUCCAAAAAAUAAACCAAAUCCAGUCAAAUCUCUAGUUUUGACUCCUAGCUUACCGGAAAUACGUGAUGGGAAAAAAAUGAAAUGACACCACUAUGAUUCAAUCAGCCAAAUCCAGCAUAUGCAAAUUUCUACCAGAUAAAUGGUUUAGUUUCUUCCCCAAACAAAUGGCACAAGGAAACGGAGGUAAGAAUGGGAUGCUGUUAUAGAUUUUAAAAGAUUUAAGAAAGUAUAAACUAAAUACACUAUGUGCAUCCUCUCUGAACGUGCUUCAAACAUAUCAAGGGGUCAAUGAGCAGUUUUGAAACAAUAAGGGAAUUUGAACACUGAAUGGUUGUCAGAAGAUAGUAAGAGAUCAUUAUUAAUUUUACUAGACAUAAUGAUGUUCUGAUUUUGUUUUUUUUUUAAAAAAAAAACAGUGUUAUUUCCUUUAUAGAUACAUCAUAUAGUAUUAACUAAUGAAAUGCUUUGAUAUCUGGAACGUUUAAAAAAUAUUCCCGAUGGAGUAAGUGCAAAGAAACAGGUAAGCAAAAUGCUGAUAAUUGCUGAAACACAGGAUGUGUACCUGGGGCUUCAUUUACUAUCUCUUCAUUUUCUAUUUUGAUAUUUGUUGGACAUUCUCAUAAAAAGGAAAGUUAUGUUUUAUUUUCUCAUAAGCUAGUAAUGAAAUAGCCCUACGUAACUGAUAUUGUAGAGACAAGAAUAGGUGUAAUAGAGCUUAAGGUUUUCAUUUAAAAAACUAUCUGUAGACUUCAAUGGAUCUUAGGUGGCAUCCAUGCAAUAACACUCGUGGAACAUGCAGGACAGGUGUGGAGCUCCAUCUUCACACAGUGACAUUUUUUAUGCUUCUGUUUUCCCUAAGAGUGGAGUGAGAGGAUGAUUAUUUUAUAUCAUGGACUUCUUCCCUGCUAUACUUUUUUUAAUUAUUUUACUUUCACUUCUGGGAUACAUGUGCUGAGCAUGCAGGCUUGUUUACAUAGGUAUACAUCUGCCAUGGUGGUUUGCUGCACCUAUCAACCCAUCAUACAGGUUUUAAGCCCUGCAUGCAUUAGGUAUUCGCCCUAAUGCUCUCCCUCGCCUUUCCCCCCACCCCCUGAUAGCCCCCAGUGAGUCAUAUUCCCCUCCCUGUGUCCAUGUGUUCUCAUUGUUCAACUCCCAUUUAUGAGUGAGAAUAUGUGGUGUUUAGUUUUCUGUUCCUGUGUUAGUUUGCUGAGAAUGAUGUUUUCCAGCUUCAUCCAUGUCCCUGAAAAGGACAUGAGCUCAUUCUUUUUUAUGGCUGCAUAGUAUUCCACGGUGUUAUAUGUGCCACAUUUUCUUAAUCCAGUCUGUCAUUGAUGGACAUUUGGGUUGUUUCCAAGUCUUUGCUAUUGUAAAUAGUGCUGCAAUAAACAUAUGUGUGCAUGUGUCUUUGUAGUAGAAUGAUUUAUAAUCCUUUGGGUAUAUGCCCAGUAAUGGGACUGAUGGGUCAAAUGGUAUUUCUGGUUCUAGAUCCUUGAGGAAUUGCCACACUGUCUUCCACAAUGGUUGAACUAAUUUAUACUCCCACCAACAGGGUAAAAGCAUUCCUAUUUCUCCACAUCCUCUCCAGCAUCUGUUGUUUCCAAAUGUUUUAAUGAUUGCCAUUCCACCUGGCGUGAGAUGGUAUCUCAUUGUGGUUUUGAUUUUCAUUUCUCUAAUGACCAGUGAUGAUAAGCUUUUUUUCAUAUGUUUGUUGGCCACAUAAAUGUCUUCUUUUGACUUUUAUGUGGAAACAAAUUUAACUGCACAGAGAGGUGAAAAUUAAUUAAUAACUUUUAAAGUAAUUCCCUAAGUUUCUAAGGAUCUAUAUGUUUCCAUCUGACUUUAUUUUAUUUAAGCUCUUGAUUGAUGCUGCAUUUGGAGCAGGUUCAUGAACAUGAAUAGAGUUAAUCUGGGACAGAUUUCCCUCAUUUGAUUUUUUCACUGUUUCCAUCACAGAACUUAUUUCAUGCUCACCAUGUUUGCAGGCAUUGAGCUUGGUACUGGAGCCACAGAGCUGGAUCAGACAGACUUGUGCAAAUAUUUCAGGUUUUUUUUGUGGGGGGGUCAUAUUUAUAGAUAAAUAACAGUAAAGAGUGACGGGUUCUUAUGAAAAUGCAUACACAGUGAAGUAGAGGGUGAAAAGGAGGGAUGUGUUCUAUGAGGAGGAAGAGUGAUAAGAAAGUGUAAGGGGAUGUGUCUGUGUCUAGACAUAUGUGUGUUCACGUGUGUGCGUGCUUGUGUGUACUGCAUGUGUAUAUGUGUGGCCAUGCACCUGUGUGCAUGUUCAUGUGUGUGUGUGUAUGUGUCUGUGUUGAGGACUAAAUUAAUUGGGCUUAUGGAAGCAGGGAGCCACUGAUAGGUUUAAUUAGAGACUGACAUGAUAUGAUAGUUUAGGUGGAUUUCUCUGGGGGCUGUGUUGAGGGACAGUGGGGAGGAGAGCUAGAAGGAAGAAAAGGACACAUGCAUAACAGAAGCAAUAUCUGUCUAUGGGAUGGUGGAAAGAAUCAGAAAAGACUUAAUAAAACAUGUGACACUUUAACUGAAUCUUGAAAUAGACAAGUGUUGGAGGAGGGAGUUGGACCAGAUACUUCAUGCAAAGGGAAGAAAAGUGCACAAACAAAAUAUGAGAAACAAGGCAGACAGGCAUUUUUUUAAAAUUUUCGCACCCACUGAUAGACCAGUGAUGCAUUCACAUCGUCUGCAUUCAUGAUCAACAAAAGUGCUUUCCUAGAACAUGAACCUCAACCCAAGUGUCGCCUCAAGUAGUGUAUGCAUGAACUCAAGCAUUAAAUUAGAAUUGAUUUUUUAAAAAACUCACACAAACAGAUGUAUUAUUUAAAAAUCUUUAAAGCAGGUUUAAACAGUUUUCAGGAUUAAAAGCAGCCACUAUUAGAAAGAACAAAAAUACAUUUGACAUAAAUAUAAGGAGCCUCAAUAGAACCUCCUGUACCCAGUCAUUGUCAAUGCCACAUCCAUUCAUUCACCAGCCCUUAUAUCAAUGCUUGCUGGGCUCACUUACCACGAUCAGCACGUGCAUGUCCUUAUCUGAAAGCUUGCCACUCAAAUGUGCUCAGUCUUACCUGUGUGGCUGGGAGUGUUGGGGAUUUAAUGUCAAGGGAAAGAAUCUUCCAUCAAUGAAUGAUGAAAGUUAGUUUUCACAACUUCCGGUCCCCUUGGCCCUCAUCAAAGGGCUCCAGGUGAGGUUUGGGCUCCUUGCUAUCCUCCGAGUUUCCACGGUAGUUUUAAGCACCAUUGCCCGUGGUAAUGGCUGACAUUGAUACUGCACUUUUUUUUUAUUUAAGAUGGAGUUCCCCUCUGCCACCCAGACUGGAGUACAGUGGCGCGAUCCUGGCCAUCGCAACCUCCGCCUCCCAGGUUCAAGCGAUUCUCCUGCCUCAGUCUCUCAAGUAGCUGGGAUAUGGGCACCUGUCACCAUGCCCAGCUAAUUUUUUUAAAAUUUAUUUUUAGUAGAGAUGGGGUUUCACCAUGUUGGCCAGGCUGGUCUCGAACUCCUGACCUCAGGUGAUCCACCCACACUUUUUAUUGUUUGCCUACACUUUCUAGACUUGCUUCAUCAGCCUACUCCGUUUCUGGUUGAUAUGGUUUGGUUGUGUCCCCACUCAAAUCUUAUCUAGAAGUGUAAUCCCCAAGUCUCAAGGGAGGGACCUGGUGUGAGGUGAUUGGAUUGGGGGGUGGUUCCCGCCAUGCUGUUCUCAUGAUAGUGAGUGAGUUCUCAUGAGAUCUGAUGGUUUUAUAAGGCAGUUUUCCCUAUUCUUGCUCACUCUUCUCUCUCUUUCUGCCAUGUGAAGAAGGUCCUUGCUUCCCCUUCACCUUCUACCAUGAUUGUAAGUUUCCUGAGGCCUCCCCUCAGCCAUGCACAACUGUGAGUCAAUUAAACCUCUUUCCUUUAUAAAUUACUCAGUCUCAGGUCGUAUCUUUAUAGCAGUAUGAGAAUGGACUAAUACACUGGUCUAUCCUUCAUCCAAAUUAACUACCUGCACUGCAGUCCUUGUCUCAGGCUCUGCUUUGAGGGACCCCAACUGUGACAGCCGCAUUAGAAUGCAUCACAUACUGCAGUGAAAUUCUAGAGUGGGUGUUGUCAGGUGGUGAUGAUUGUUAGAUAUGUCAGUCUGUUUUCAGGCUGCUGAUAAAGACAUACCUGAGACUGGGUAAUUUAUAAAGGAAAAGGAGGUUUAAUGGACUCACAGUUCCACAUGGCUAGGGAGGCCUCACAAUCAUGGCAGAAGGUGAAAGGCACGGCUUACAGGGUGGCAGCAAGAGAGGAAAUGAGAACCAAGUGAAAAGGUUUCUGCUUAUAAAACCAUCAGCUCUUGUGAGACUUAUUCAUUACAAUGAGAACAAUAUGGGGGAAACUGCCCCCAUGAUUCAAUUAUCUCCCACCAGAUCCCUCCUACAACACAUGAGAAUUGUGGGUGCUACAAUUCAAGAUGAGAUUUGAGUGGGGACAAAGUCAAACCAUAUCAUUAGAUAGGACACUGGAGAAAGGCAAGAAAGAAAAGACAUCUGAAGAAUGAAGGGAGCCAAAGAAAUGCCAACAUUUUGCUUUUUGAAGAAAAGCUAAAUUAAAGUCAAAAUGGAUUUAUCAAUUUCCUUGGGUUCGUGAAUGUACAGAACUUUAUUAAGACUGUCAUGCUGUCAUCAUGGCUGGAUCUGAUACGGCCACCGUGGACCUUGAGGUGACCUCGGGAAUGGAGACAGUGCAUGGGAGAGAAUCACAUUGGAAGGGGCCUGGGUUUCUGAAGACCCUGUAAGACAGAUCUCCUUGCAGCCCUGACUGCCCACAUUAGGGCUUUUAUGUUAGGGUGAAGUUACCUUGCAUUGUCAUAUAAGCAAUUGCUAUUUGUGGUGUCUUGCAAAUAAACCUAUUCUGAUCUAGUAUGUUUCCUAAAAAACAAAAGUUUGAACCCAGCUCUUUACGUGUUACAUGUUCUGAAUACAAAAAUAAGACCCAGUUUCUGCCCCCUAGCAGGACCCAAAACCCCUCAGUGAAGGCAUACACCAUAGGAAUAAUCUCACAAGUACUUU